ACCUCAGUAGCCCAAUUGGAAGAGGCGUCCCGCUCAGACCGGGGAUGUUGGGGGUUCGAAUCCCUCCUGAGGUA
rnacentral:tRNA from 1 species